rnacentral:lncRNA from 1 species
UUUUUUUAAAAAGUUUUUUUUUUUUUUAGAAAUCAAACACAAAGCUUGAGGAUCUCUAAAAUAAUUCAGAGCUGCGGUGCUGCGCUUCUGCAGGAGAGACAAUUUCUUCUGAUGACAGAAGCCAGAGGAAAAAAAAAAAAAUGGUGUUUUGGAAGAAAUACAAAGCAUAAAUCUUGCUCUCAGUGGGACUAGUGCAAGUCUAUUGUAAUUCCCUGUCAGGACACUGAGGUACUGUAGGUUUGUACCUGUGCCACUGAGAACUGAACAGGGACUGUGAAGUUUUCACUGCAGCAACAGGGCAAAACUUUCUGUGCACUCUGUGCACUUUUCCCAAAGGUUUGUGUCCUUGUUUUAAGCUGCGUUUUCUGGAUCUGCGGUCAACUGGCCCUGAGGGGUGUCUGAGUGCUUUACAAUCCCUGUGACAGCCUCUCGGUGAGUGCCGCUUACCAGGAAUAGUGCUCUGUGCCUCAUACAGCACGUAACAAACAGGAGUAAAAGAGCAAGCACUCCCCUUUCCUUUUGCUUUCUCCAAAUCCAGGAUCUGAUGGACAUGUGCUCCCUGGACCUCAACAUGCAGGGCUCCAUUUGCAGAACCAUUUGUCCGUACUUGAUGAGCUUGUGUUUUGCUUCUGAGGCUGACAGCGAAGGAGUUGGAAGUAAAAUGCUGUAGUGCAUUUCUUUCUGCUUUUCACAGUACUUCUCUGUUCCUAUAAAGGUAAGCAUGAUCAAAUAUUUAAUCUGAUUAUAAUUAAUUAUAUUAUUUUGAUUCUAAAUGCCAUUGUACAAAUAUUUAUAUGGAAAAUUUCAAAAUGAGAAUAAGUAAA